rnacentral:rRNA from 1 species
GAUUGCAGUAGGGAAUCUUCCGCAAUGGACGAAAGUCUGACGGAGCAACGCCGCGUGAGUGAUGAAGGUUUUCGGAUCGUAAAACUCUGUUGUUAGGGAAGAACAAGUAGUACUCGAAUAGGGUGCUACCUUGACGGUAUCUAAUUAGAAAGCCACGGCUAACUACGUGCCAGCAGCCGCGGUAAUACGUAGGUGGCAAGCGUUAUCCGGAAUUAUUGGGCGUAAAGCGCGCGCAGGCGGUCUUUUAAGUCUGAUGUUAAAGCCCACGGCUCAACCGUGGUUCGCAUUGGAAACUGGGAGACUUGAGUACUGAAGAGGAAAGUGGAAUACCACGUGUAGCGGUGAAAUGCGUAGAGAUGUGGUGGAACACCAGUGGCGAAGGCGACUUUCUGGUCAGUAACUGACGCUGAGGCGCGAAAGCGUGGGGAGCAAACAGGAUUAGAUACCCUGGUAGUCCACGCCGUAAACGAUGAGUGCUAAGUGUUAGAGGGCUUCCACCCCUUAGUGCUGUAGCUAACGCAUUAAGCACUCCGCCUGGGGAGUACGGUCGCAAGACUGAAACUCAAAGGAAUUGA